CACAUGGCUUUUGGGGAGGGAGACCGACUGUCUCCUCUCCCAAUACAUUGUCCUGCGGGGAAGGAAGACUGACCGCCUCCCAUUCCAAUAUCAUAUUCAGCCGCUGGGGAGUGAGACCGGUUGUCUCCCCUCCCUGUAAAGCACUCUGCUGCUGGGGAGAGGGACCGCCUGUCCCUUCUCCCAAAAACACACUUGGCUGCUGGAGAUGGAGGACGACACUCUCCUCUCCAUGGGUUGCACGUGCACGCUGUGGAGAGGGACCGACUGUCCCCACUCCUAACAUAUCCAUCUGUGGUUGGCAAUCUGGGCUAGCUGCCCAGCAUCCUUGUAGGGCCGGUGGAGAGACCUCGGUCCCCGCUCCACCUGCCAGCUGGGGUUCUUCCCAGGACCAGUCGAUAAGGUCUCUCAUCUCUGGGGCUGGUUGGGAAGUAGGUGGUACAGAACCUAGGUAUCCGGAUGACGGGCUUAGUUGCUGGGGAGGAGGGACGAAACCCAGCGCUCCCGAUGGUGUACAGUCCAUAAGCCCCAUCAUGUCAGAGGCAAGCGGUGUCACUUGAUCAUAUAGGCA